rnacentral:ncRNA from 1 species
AUAUUUCCGAGGAACGGAUAAGUACAAUAGGAUGCCUUUUACAGAGAGCCGGGAUAGUUGCUGGAAGCCGGUAAAGGACACGAUUGGAAAAUGGUCCGGGAGGAUUCGCUUUCAAGCUGCAGCUUGUGGAACAAAGCUGAGUAAGGGAGCGACGCUUUGCUAGCGUUAACGGCAUAGCCGCCAUGAAGGCGGCACACGAAGCUUUCUCGAAGAGUCGAUUUCACCUGGGCGUCUUCGCGAUUGAAAUUUGGGUGGUACCGCGUGAGUUACAACUCUCGUCCCAUGA